AUCGCUUCUUGGCCUUUUGGCUAAGAUGAAGUGUAGUAUCUGUUCUUAUCAAUUUAAUGUUGGAUACAUCUUCUAUCUGAGGACAAUACAGUACAUGGAAUUUUGGACCUGAGAGACGGAAUAGGAGCUUGCUUCAUUCGCUCCUUGCAUUGACCUGGUUACAAUACCUCCAGGAGUAGCUGUUGGGGGA
rnacentral:snRNA from 1 species